UAUCUAUUACAGGUUACAAUAUAUCUUUAAUCGCAGACAAGAAAACCAUAGUUAAGAUGGAGAUAAGGUACCACAAAGAAAUCUUGCUUUAAAGCCAUGAAAGGACAUCCAAGGAACCUCAUUCACUGAUGUUAGAGCUUGGUAAAUCUACCCUUUAGCAAAGAUGAUGGAAGUGUUGAUCAACAUAAUAUUAAACUUUGCAGAUUGAAACAAAUGUGUACAUGAUAUGAUAACAAGACUCUUGAUUUCCUGGAAAAUAAACUCUGGUCUGGUUCAAAAUACUAAUUGAUGAUUUCCUUGACAGUACAUUUGCAUGUAAUGUCAAUAAAGAAUUAUAUAAAGUUGAGCAAA